rnacentral:rRNA from 1 species
AUGGGCACGUCUUUUGGAAGCUCCAAGCUGCAGGAUGAGCAAUACUACAAGCAUUUGGAUGAUGAAAGGAAGUAUUUCUUAGUGCUUAUGUUGGGUGAUUUCCAAGAUGCGAUGAUAAUCCCACAAGAAGUUGUGCGGCGUUUGAAAGGUGAGAUCCCAGGAGAGAUCAAGCUAGAAACCCGAAAUAGUUAUAUUGUGGUUGCCAAGAACCAAGAAAAGCUUGUCCUUACAGUGGGUUGGCGGCAAUUCAUCGAAAACUAUGAUCUACAGAUUGGUGAUUCCUUAAUGUUCAGAUACAAAGGGAACUCCCAGUUUAAUGUCAUGAUCUUUGAUAAGCUUGGUCGUGAAAAAGCAUUAUCAGUUGUUCUGGAUCCUUUUUUGCAUCGGGUCCAAGACAGGCGCAACGAGGCACAUGAAAUCGGGUCUUCUCAAAAGAUGGAUGUGCCUUGGGAAAGAUGCAAGAGCCGGACUGAAUAUCACUACGCAAACUUGGAUGAUGAGAAGAAAUAUUUCUUGGUGCAUAUGAUGGGCGAUUUUCAACAUGAGAUGAUCAUCCUAGAAGUAUUUGUUCAGCGUUUCAAGUGCGAAUUCCCAAGAGAGAUGAUACUUGAAACACAAAAUUGCCACAGUUACGUAAUUGGAGUUGCGAAGAACAAUGGAAAUCUUGUCCUUACAGUGGGAUGGGGGAAAUUUGUUGGGAUCUUUGGUCUAGAGAUGGGUGACACCAUAAUAUUAAGAUACAUUGGGAACUCCCGGUUUAAUGUCAUAAUCUUUGAUGAACUUGGUUGUGAGAAGGUAUCAUCAGUUUUUGUGGAUCCUUCUCCGCCUCCUGUGCAAGAAAGGCGAACAAGUGCUACUGAUACUGUGAAAAGUUCUCAUUUUCGUCCUCAGGCCAUACAAACGCAGGCAUUUAGCAUAAGGAAAGAGAUGCCAAUGGAGUCACGACACCUCCAAAUGGAAACGGACAAGUCAUGUCAAGACAAGAACACCGUGAUAAGUACUUCCUCCUGCGAGUCAUCAGGAGAUUGUUUCUCCUCUGAAGAAGAAUAUGGAGUACGUGAAGAUGAAGAAGAAUAUGGAGUACGUGAAGUUCCCGGUUCCAAUUUCACCGUGAGGAAGAAGAAGGUCAGGCUAUCUUCAAUUCAGAAGGAGCAGUUGAAGGAUGGUUACAUUACCGUGAACAAGACCAAACUAACUCCAGCUCAGAAGAAAGUUGUGAAGCAUAAGGUCCAGUCCAUAGACUCAGAGAUCCCCAUCUUUGCUGCGCAAGUCUAA